ACGAACGCUGGCGGCACGCUUAACACAUGCAAGUCGAACGAGAGAAGAGAAGCUUGCUUUUCUGAUCUAGUGGCGGACGGGUGAGUGACACGUGAGCAAUCUGCCUUUCAGAGGGGGAUACCGAUUGGAAACGAUCGUUAAUACCGCAUAACAUAAUUGAACCGCAUGAUUUGAUUAUCAAAGAUUUAUCGCUGAAAGAUGAGCUCGCGUCUGAUUAGCUAGUUGGUAAGGUAACGGCUUACCAAGGCGACGAUCAGUAGCCGGACUGAGAGGUUGAUCGGCCACAUUGGGACUGAGACACGGCCCAGACUCCUACGGGAGGCAGCAGUGGGGAAUAUUGCACAAUGGAGGAAACUCUGAUGCAGCGAUGCCGCGUGAGGGAAGAAGGUUUUAGGAUUGUAAACCUCUGUCUUCAGGGACGAAAAAAGACGGUACCUGAGGAGGAAGCUCCGGCUAACUACGUGCCAGCAGCCGCGGUAAUACGUAGGGAGCGAGCGUUGUCCGGAAUUACUGGGUGUAAAGGGAGCGUAGGCGGGAUCGCAAGUCAGAUGUGAAAACUAUGGGCUUAACCCAUAAACUGCAUUUGAAACUGUGGUUCUUGAGUGAAGUAGAGGUAAGCGGAAUUCCUAGUGUAGCGGUGAAAUGCGUAGAUAUUAGGAGGAACAUCAGUGGCGAAGGCGGCUUACUGGGCUUUAACUGACGCUGAGGCUCGAAAGCGUGGGGAGCAAACAGGAUUAGAUACCCUGGUAGUCCACGCCGUAAACGAUGAUUACUAGGUGUGGGGGGACUGACCCCUUCCGUGCCGCAGCAAACGCAAUAAGUAAUCCACCUGGGGAGUACGACCGCAAGGUUGAAACUCAAAGGAAUUGACGGGGGCCCGCACAAGCAGUGGAGUAUGUGGAUUAAUUCGAAGCAACGCGAAGAACCUUACCAGGUCUUGACAUCGUAUGCAUAGCUCAGAGAUGAGUGAAAUCUCUUCGGAGACAUAUAGACAGGUGGUGCAUGGUUGUCGUCAGCUCGUGUCGUGAGAUGUUGGGUUAAGUCCCGCAACGAGCGCAACCCUUACUGUUAGUUGCUACGCAAGAGCACUCUAGCAGGACUGCCGUUGACAAAACGGAGGAAGGUGGGGAUGACGUCAAAUCAUCAUGCCCCUUAUGACCUGGGCCUCACACGUACUACAAUGGCUGUCAACAGAGGGAAGCAAAGCCGCGAGGUGGAGCAAACCCCUAAAAGCAGUCUUAGUUCGGAUUGUAGGCUGCAACCCGCCUACAUGAAGUCGGAAUUGCUAGUAAUCGCAGAUCAGCAUGCUGCGGUGAAUACGUUCCCGGGCCUUGUACACACCGCCCGUCACGCCAUGGGAGUCGGUAACACCCGAAGCCUGUAGUCUAACCGCAAGGAGGACGCAGUCGAAGGUGGGAUUGAUGACUGGGGUG
rnacentral:rRNA from 1 species